rnacentral:rRNA from 1 species
GAUGAACGCUGGCGGCGUGCCUAAUACAUGCAAGUCGAGCGAACAGAUGAGGAGCUUGCUCCUCUGACGUUAGCGGCGGACGGGUGAGUAACACGUGGAUAACCUACCUAUAAGACUGGGAUAACUUCGUGAAACCGGAGCUAAUACCGGAUAAUAUAUUUAACCGCAUGGUUCAAUAGUGAAAGACGGUUUUGCUGUCACUUAUAGAUGGAUCCGCGCCGCAUUAGCUAGUUGGUAAGGUAACGGCUUACCAAGGCAACGAUGCGUAGCCGACCUGAGAGGGUGAUAGGCCACACUGGAACUGAGACACGGUCCAGACUCCUACGGGAGGCAGCAGUAGGGAAUCUUCCGCAAUGGGCGAAAGCCUGACGGAGCAACGCCGCGUGAGUGAUGAAGGUCUUCGGAUCGUAAAACUCUGUUAUUAGGGAAGAACAAAUGUGUAAGUAACUAUGCACGUCUUGACGGUACCUAAUCAGAAAGCCACGGCUAACUACGUG